rnacentral:rRNA from 1 species
GAUGAACGCUAGCGGGAGGCUUAACACAUGCAAGUCGAGCGGGAUUCACCUUCGGGUGAUGAGAGCGGCGCACGGGUGCGUAACGCGUAUGCAACCUACCUUAUACAAAGGGAUAGCCCAUGGAAACGUGGAUUAAUAUCUUAUGGGACUAAUUAAUCGCAUGGUUGAUUAGUUAAAAUUUCGGUGGUAUAAGAUGGGCAUGCGUCUGAUUAGCUAGUUGGUGAGGUAACGGCUCACCAAGGCGACGAUCAGUAGGGGUUCUGAGAGGAUUACCCCCCACACUGGUACUGAGACACGGACCAGACUCCUACGGGAGGCAGCAGUGAGGAAUAUUGGUCAAUGGACGAAAGUCUGAACCAGCCAUCCCGCGUGCAGGAUGACGGCCCUAUGGGUUGUAAACUGCCUUUCUACGCCAAGAAACCUACCAACGUGUUGGUAGCUGACGGGUAGCGUAGGAAUAAGCACCGGCUAACUCCGUGCCAGCAGCCGCGGU